AUUGAACGCUGGCGGCAGGCUUAACACAUGCAAGUCGAGCGAGCGGCGGACGGGUGAGUAAUGUCUGGGAAACUGCCUGAUGGAGGGGGAUAACUACUGGAAACGGUAGCUAAUACAGCAUACCAUCAGAUGUGCCCAGAUGGGAUUAGCUAGUGGGUGGGGUAAUGUCUCACCUAGGCGACGAUCCCUAGCUGUUCUGAGAGGAUGACCACGCACGCGUGAGUUGAGACUCGGUCACGGAUCCAUCGGGAGGCGGCAGGGGGGAAGAUUGCACAAUGGUCGCAAGCCUGAUGCAGCGAUGCCGGGUGUGUGAGGCAGGCCUACGGUUUGUAAAGCACUUUCAGCUAUUAGGCGUUACUCUUUGAAGAAGCACCUGCUAACUCCGUGCCAGCAGCCGCGGUAAUUC
rnacentral:rRNA from 1 species